rnacentral:rRNA from 1 species
UACAGAGGUCUCAAGCGUUGUUCGGAUUCAUUGGGCGUAAAGGGUGCGUAGGCUGCGCGGUAAGGCGGGUGUGAAAUCUCGGGGCUUAACUCCGAAACUGCAUUCGAUACUGCCGUGCUUGAGGACUGGAGAGGAGACUGGAAUUUACGGUGUAGCGGUGAAAUGCGUAGAUAUCGUAAGGAAGACCAGUGGCGAAGGCGGGUCUCUGGACAGUUCCUGACGCUGAGGCACGAAGGCCAGGGGAGCAAACGGG